UUAACCACUGUACUGCAAAAUGUGACCACCCCUGCCCAAGACGUAGCCACCAUUACUGACUCCCAUGAUUCCUCCUGAAGUGGCAAUCAGAAUGCUAAUUCUAAAUGGAAUUCUUGUCAUCUUGGCUUUCUCCAUCUUGAAUUCAAUAAAUGCCAGAUUUUAUCCAA